GAGGAAGCUGCUUUGUAUCUUAACAGGGUUUAACAGGUCCAAUCGGUCCCCCUGGUUCUGCGGGACCCAACGGUGAAAAGGGAGAAUCUGGACCUGCAGGACCGUCUGGAGCUGCUGGUACUCGCGGUGUUCCUGGUGACAGAGGAGAGACUGGUCCUUUUGGUCCUGCUGGUUUUGCUGGUCCUCCUG